rnacentral:lncRNA from 12 species
AUGUGGCCCAGCUCCCAUUCUGCUACCCUCACAGCCACCAGGCUCCCCCCAGGCCGGCAGCCGCCCCCGCCCCCGCCCACUGCCAAUGGGGCAAUCUCACCUGUCGGGCCACCUGGGCCUCACCGGGCCAUGGGCCAGCUGGGCUGGAAGGGCCUCGGUCUCUCAUGCGCACGUGUACCCAGCUCCUACCAGCUGCCAGGGGUGGCACUUGCCCAACUGCCCAUGGCCAUUCCCACACUCCCUGCCCACUAUGCCACCGGUCUGUCCUGGAAAAAAAGGGGGGAGGGGAGAAAGAGCAUUUGCACUGGUUUUACAGCGAGCUGGUGCAGACGCGGAGCGUGCCCUGAGCAGCAGGACAGCGAGCGGCCCCCUGGCCCCGGCCUGGGACCCCCUCGGCCCCACCCACCGCCCUGGCACCCCCUCAGCACCAGCCACCACCGCUCCGAACCACGCCACGUCCGGGAGCAUCUGUGCUCUGUCUCGAGUUAUUUUGUGCAUCCGAGUCUAGGAGGGCUGAUUUAUUAGGUCUGGGAACAAACUUUUUUUUUUCAUGUAAAUGAAUGGCACCGGCUUCUUUGCUUUCUGCCACUGGGGCUUCAGGAAGUUUUCCUGGGGAACGCUCUACUUUGUGAUGGGGGUGGGGGGACCGGUGUUUAUUUUUCCUUAGGAUUUUAAAGGAAACUGAAAUGGCUUUUGGGCUCCUGGCGGCAUGUGACAGGCCAGCCCUGCCCCUUGACCCUGAGAGGGAGGCCCCCCCGUGAGGCUGGGCCUCGGCCACCUUACCUGGUCCUGGCCCCAGGUGACCGCCCCACCUCGCAGAGCCAGGCCUGCGGGGGGGGGGGGGGGGGGGACUAAUCUUUUUAUUUUUGACUUUUUGUUCCUUUUUUUACAAAUAAUUAAAAAUUGUUUGUAUCUUUUAUGAAAUAUUACCUUUUUAAAUUUAUUUGGGAAAGGAGAUAAGGUUUAUUAUGUUUGUUUAUAUUUUUUGGAGAGGUUAUAGAGAAUUUAUUGGAGGGGAGGGGGGGGGCAGUCCUUUGACCAGGCCGCCCCAGGCCACAGCCGGUGGGAGCCACAGC